rnacentral:rRNA from 1 species
GUAGGAUAGGAAUAAAUUAUAUUAGUUGGGAGUUAAAGGAAAGUAUAAGAGAAUGGUUAAUUUUAUGGGUAAAAUUUGUUGAACUAAUUAUUUCUUAGGUUGGAAAUUUGAAGCUUUGAAAAUUGAGAUUGAAACUAGGAUUAGAUACCCUAUUAUUUUAAUUGUAAAGGGGGGAGAAGCUGGAGUAGUAGUAGUUAAGAGCUUGAAACUCAAAGAAUUUGGCGGUGUCUUAGGCUUUUCAGAGGAAUCUGUCCUAUAAUCGAUAAUACACGUUAAAUGUUACUUAAUUUGGUAUAACCAAUUUGUAUACCGCCGUCAUAAGAUUAUCUUUUUAGAGAAAUAAUUUUCUAGAUAUUAUAAGAUAUAAUGUCAGGUCAAGGUGCAGUUUAUAAUUAAGAAGGAGAUGGAUUACAAUAAAUUUAUUUAAAUGGAUUCUUUCUUGAAAGAUAAGGUUGAAGGUGGAUUUGAAAGUAAUUUUGUUAGAUUAUGAUAAAAUGAUUUAAGCUCUGGGAUAUGUACAUAUCGCCCGUCGCUCUCGUUAUAAGAUGAGAUAAGUCGUAACAUAGUAGUCGUACUGGAAAGUGUGGCUGGAAAGUCAA